rnacentral:rRNA from 1 species
AACGAACGCUGGCGGCAUGCCUAACACAUGCAAGUCGAACGAGACCUUCGGGUCUAGUGGCGCACGGGUGCGUAACGCGUGGGAACCUGCCUUUAGGUUCGGAAUAACUCAGAGAAAUUUGUGCUAAUACCGGAUUAUGUCUUCGGACCAAAGAUUUAUCGCCUUUAGAUGGGCCCGCGUUGGAUUAGCUAGUUGGUUGGGUAAAGGCCUACCAAGGCGACGAUCCAUAGCUGGUCUGAGAGGAUGAUCAGCCACACUGGGACUGAGACACGGCCCAGACUCCUACGGGAGGCAGCAGUGGGGAAUAUUGGACAAUGGGCGAAAGCCUGAUCCAGCAAUGCCGCGUGAGUGAUGAAGGCCUUAGGGUUGUAAAGCUCUUUUACCCGAGAUGAUAAUGACAGUAUCGGGAGAAUAAGCUCCGGCUAACUCCGUG